rnacentral:rRNA from 1 species
UACGUAGGGUGCAAGCGUUAAUCGGAAUUACUGGGCGUAAAGCGUGCGCAGGCGGUUUUGUAAGUCUGACGUGAAAUCCCCGGGCUCAACCUGGGAAUUGCGUUGGAGACUGCAAGGCUAGAAUCUGGCAGAGGGGGGUAGAAUUCCACGUGUAGCAGUGAAAUGCGUAGAGAUGUGGAGGAACACCGAUGGCGAAGGCAGCCCCCCUGGGUCAAGAUUGACGCUCAUGCACGAAAGCGU